CGAGAAGUGUGCAGGUAAGAUUCUUUUGUGUGCGACGUGCCAGUGGCGAAAUCUCGAAACGGAACAUAUAGCUUUCUCGCGAACUCAGAGGAAGUUGACGUGAAAAACUCCGGUUCGCGCGCAUCGGAUCACGGGGGAGGGAAACGUUUUGUCCAAAGGAUGAGAUGAAAGGGAGCCCCUUGGCUACGACGCCGCACCGCCAGGCUUACUAGGGAUGAAGCCAGCCCUAUGAUGCGUCCUUGACUGUUUACUGCGCAGUGUGUAUUGCGCAAUGUGCGAAUUGCUCCGGUUUUGUCGGAGCCACAAUUUCGACGCGAAUUUCAACGCGAAUAUAAUUUAUCUAAAGAAAAGUGUGUCUUCCGCAUUGCAUGGAGCAAACUCUGUUCGAGAGAGAGAGAGAGAGAGAGAGAGGGAGAGAGAGAGAGGGUUUUAGUUUAUACUCCUCUCGCUGCUCGUCGAUCGAUUUCGCGCACAUUUGCAAAUCGUAUGAUUUGUUCGGAUUUAUAUUAUCGCUUUUCGAAAUAAUGAUACGUCGGAAUAGUGGCGAUAAAAAUUGAGAAAAAUGAAACACGAGCACACUGCAGUAGCGUAUCUAUCACGCAAAGUGUUGUACGUAUAGUCACUCACCCAGCAAACAAUUUCUGUGUGUGACUGCGCAGAUCUGGCAACAAAGAAACUCUGUGUGCAGAAACGCUACAAUACGGAAACACGCUUUGCGUGCUGCCCCAAAGCUGUUGACACACAGACACAAAAAACAGACAUCAAAACCCCAUAUCCUACUGAGGAUACAGUAGAUGAAUAUCGGAUUCGAUGUGGCGGUUGGCGACAAAAAAUCGCGACAUCUUUGACAACCAAAUUGUUUGCUGGGCACUUUUAAAUAAUAAUGGCUUUGGCACGUGUCUCUGAAAAAAACGCGCGAUCCGAUCGUGAAAAAAAAAAAAAAACCUCUUUAUAUCGCACACGACGGAAGUCCGUGUUUCUACCUGAAAAGCGGAAUGUCGAUUGGUUGCGCGAGACUCCCCCCACGACGCGUCCUAUCUGCACGUGCCACAGAAGUUCUUGUGUGGACGCGCGUGUAUGCGUCAACACUUGGUUUUUUUGUGUUAAGAAAAAAUUUAUUGCGAAGUAGAUUUGAAAAUUUAUCUCUCUCACAAGCUUCACUUGUUCGCUCUCCCUUUUGCCACGCACUCGAUAAAUUUCUGUUCUCAGACUUGUCACGCGAAUUUUUAUAAAUAAGAGUGAGAAAUAUAUAUAUAUAUAUAUAUAUAUAUAUUUGCGAAAUACACUUUCUUACUAACUGAGUUAUUAAGGUCGAGCCUCUGAUGUGUGUACGUGCAUUUAUAUAUAUUUAUACAUAUUAACUUUGCGUAACGUAUAAAUUAACAUACGUAUGGAAAUUUAAAAAUUUACAUACAUAGAAUUGGUUUGCAUAUGUAAAAUAGCAGUCGCGCGUCAAAUUUCGCGAGGAAAACAUCCGGACUUGACUCCCGUCCAAAUGUUUUUUUUGUAUAAUGAAAUUUUUACAUUCCAUGAGAAACAGGAAGAUACAUUGGGUUUGAGGGAAGUUAACAAAUAUAUACAGAGUGUUCGGAAAAAAUCGCCAGCGAUACUUUGGGAAAUGAUUGGAGAUCCAAAAAGAAGAAAACAAGAAGCUAUAUAAAUAUAAGUUCGCAAAUAAGUCGCAAACAAUAAAUAUAGCCACU